AAACUUCGCAAUGUGCGCAAGCACGACGAGGGAAUCCUAAGUGCCUAUGCUUUGCAUAGGCUGUUCUUCUGUCUAAAAACAGGGGGAGUAAGGGCUGGGUAAGACGGGUGCCAGCCGCCGCGGUAAUACCCGCAGCCCAAGUGGUGGUCGCGUUUAUUGGGCCUAAAGCGCUCGUAGCCGGGCUUGCAAGUCCCUUGUGAAAUCGGACGGCUCAACCGUUCGGCGUGCAAGGGAUACUGCUGGCCUUGGGAUCGGGAGAGGUCG
rnacentral:rRNA from 1 species